UACGUAGGGACCAAGCGUUGUUCGGAUUUACUGGGCGUAAAGGGCGCGUAGGCGGCGAAUCAAGUCAGCUGUGAAAUCUCCGAGCUUAACUCGGAACGGUCAGCUGAUACUGUUUUGCUAGAGUGCAGAAAGGGCAACCGGAAUUCUUGGUGUAGCGGUGAAAUGCGUAGAUAUCAAGAGGAACACCUGAGGCGAAGGCGGGUUGCUAGGCUGACACUGACGCUGAAGCGCGAAAGCCAGGGGAGCAAACGGG
rnacentral:rRNA from 1 species